rnacentral:rRNA from 1 species
AGUUUGAUCCUGGCUCAGAUUGAACGCUGGCGGCAGGCUUAACACAUGCAAGUCGAGCGGUAGCACAGGGGAGCUUGCUCCCUGGGUGACGAGCGGCGGACGGGUGAGUAAUGUCUGGGAAACUGCCUGAUGGAGGGGGAUAACUACUGGAAACGGUAGCUAAUACCGCAUAACGUCGCAAGACCAAAGAGGGGGACCUUCGGGCCUCUUGCCAUCAGAUGUGCCCAGAUGGGAUUAGCUAGUAGGUGGGGUAAUGGCUCACCUAGGCGACGAUCCCUAGCUGGUCUGAGAGGAUGACCAGCCACACUGGAACUGAGACACGGUCCAGACUCCUACGGGAGGCAGCAGUGGGGAAUAUUGCACAAUGGGCGCAAGCCUGAUGCAGCCAUGCCGCGUGUGUGAAGAAGGCCUUCGGGUUGUAAAGCACUUUCAGCGAGGAGGAAGGUGGUGAGCUUAAUACGCUCAUCAAUUGACGUUACUCGCAGAAGAAGCACCGGCUAACUCCGUGCCAGCAGCCGCGGU